UGAGUGUGUGUGCAUCUGUGUGUUA
rnacentral:piRNA from 1 species